rnacentral:lncRNA from 1 species
GUAAGUACUGAAUUAUGAUCUGUUACUUUCAUUUUUUUAGCUGUUUAUCUCUUCCUGAAAUGGUUAUAUACUUGCAGAUGAGCAUCCUCUGUUUACGGGUAUUUGAAGCUCUUGUUCCAUUUGCUGUGGAGGGAGGUCAUAGAAGAUGUGUUUUUCAAGAAAAUAGUGGGAUUUUAGACAUAAAGAGCAUGACAAUGCAGCUUCCAUGACCACAGGAAAUCUUCUAGACUCAUCAUGAUGUUGUAUCACAUCUCAUGAAGAACUGAAGCUUAUCUUCAUUCAGCAUUCGGCUUUCAUCACGCUUCACAAUGGUGGUCAUGACUAUUUACAACACUGACUCUUCCAAACUAAUGUUGUAUAUAAAAAACUUCAAUCCCUCCUUUUAUUUACUUAUUUAUUUGUUAAUCUGGCUCUUCCCUGGUGUCAUGAGAACUAUUUGUCCCUGCAGCUCCAGGAUGAAGUGAUUUUUGGCAGGUUUUAUUAUGGAUAAAAUAGAAGGGAAAAAGAAAGACUUAAUGGUUCUCUAAUCAAGUUCCAAUAUUUGGCUCUCCCACUGUGCAAUGUCACCAUGUGCCCAUUUUGGCAUCACUUGUACCAUUACUAUUGACAAGCUGCAUGUUUCUAUAAAUAUUCCAGGAAGUAAAUCAAAAAACCCUUAGAAAGAUUUCCUUUUCAGUUUGUAAUUCACUGUUUACUUAAGGUGAGGUUGAAACUUCGAGCUACAGCUUCAAACACUGAAGAACUAAUUGUGCAAUGCCUUAAGCAUACAGAAGCUGGAGAGCAAGUAUUGGGUUUGCCACCAGAUAAAGAAAAGGUACCAUCAAUCUGAGGCAUAACCUACUCAGAGUGUUCUUCAGCAUGAUUUUUGAGAUUUGAAUAUAAAUUCCUUUAUUAACAAGGACUCAGUGAAAAAAAAAAUAGAAGAAAUAAACUAUUUUUGUUACUGGCAGCCCCAUUUUUGCCGAUAUGUCAAUAGGUACCUGCAUAUUCUGUUUAAUUACACCACAAUGGUUGUGCAGUGAAACCACCGAGUAUGGUGCCCACCUGAGUGAGAGUACUCCAAUUGUAACUGAAUAGCUAUAAAUUUGAGCUGAAUUUUUGCCUAGCUGCAAGACCCUACCAUUAGUGCAGCAGCACAGAUUCAGUUUACGUGCUCCACUGGUUACAACAGUCUACUCAGCUGGAUAAACUGGAACACAGUAAGCAUCUCCAGCUGGACUCUUUCCUAGGGCAUUGCUCUUCACUCUCGCAAACCUUCCAGCUCCUACCUUGGCUGCCCCAAACCUCCGCUUCAGUGAGUGUGUUAGAAGAUGGAGAGUAAAGCAGUGUGGUAACUUGUCCCCACCAUCCCUUGGUUUUGACUGCUGCAUGCACUCCUCCUACACAGUGACAGAGUCUGCUAUGUCUGGGUCAUAUGUAAUCCAGUAGUUUACACUAAACAAGCUAAUUCCUCUGUAAGUUUGAUGGACACCAUUAUAAAUACAUGAAGUGGAAAUUGGUCAUUAACUUGAAUUCACAAAUACUCUUAGUAGCUAUAUCUCAUAUUUUGGAUGCUGUUUUUUGGGGGGGGGUUUGGUGUUUUUUUUUUUGUUGUUGUUUUCUAUUUUAGUACAGAAUAGCAUUAGAAAGCUGAUUUUUUUACACAUUACCCCCUCCACCCCCCAGUCCAAUUUCUGCUAGCUAUUAAGAUUACUGGGUAAAGGACUUCCACAUUUUGCAAAAGGUUGUACUGAUUUAUCUUAGGUUAUAUAGAUACCUUUCAAAUAUAUCAAUAAAUUUCAGAAUAAUAAUUUGCAUUCUGAUUUUGAUUCAAGUGAAUCUAUAAGGAACAGAAAACUUUGAGCUGUCUUUUCCUUGCUGAAAUACCAGUUAUUAGAUCCUGAUAUAAAAAAUGUUCCAUUUGGUUUCAGUUUAUUAAUGAAACUGCAAAUUAUCUUUGCAAUCUCAGAGUGUGAUGAACAUAACCACUAGCUUUUGAUUAUGUAGGUGUCUCCUAACUUUUGACCAGUUUGCUUACAAAUAUAUAAAGUGUUUGCCUUCUGGACACAGUGAAAGGAGAAGCUAUUUUACUACAAAUAUUUUUCUAGCUUUUAGUACUAACAGUCCUAAACUGCUUGAAAGUGACAGGACUAGAGAUUUGCCUAUUGAUUUCAGUGGAGCUAUGCCAUUUACAAAAGCUGAGCCCUCAUCUUCAGGAUGAAAUGCAAAACAGUAGCUUGUAUUUGGCACCCUGUGUGCUCAGCAGAAACUGUUAUUGUGACUGAGUCUGUUUAGUAGAGUUUUGGUGUCUUAAUAAAAG